UCCUGGCUCAGGACGAACGCUGGCGGCGCGCCUAACACAUGCAAGUCGAACGAGAGAUGAGGAGCUUGCUCUUCAGAUCGAGUGGCGAACGGGUGAGUAACGCGUGAGGAGCCUGCCUCAAAGAGGGGGGACAACAGUUGGAAACGACUGCUAAUACCGCAUAAGCCCACGACCCGGCAUCGGGUAGAGGGAAAAGGAGCAAUCCGCUUUGAGAUGGCCUCGCGUCCGAUUAGCUAGUUGGUGAGGUAAAGGCCCACCAAGGCGACGAUCGGUAGCCGGACUGAGAGGUUGAACGGCCACAUUGGGACUGAGACACGGCCCAGACUCCUACGGGAGGCAGCAGUGGGGAAUAUUGCACAAUGGGGGAAACCCUGAUGCAGCGACGCCGCGUGGAGGAAGAAGGUCUUCGGAUUGUAAACUCCUGUUGUUGAGGAAGAUAAUGACGGUACUCAACAAGGAAGUGACGGCUAACUACGUG
rnacentral:rRNA from 1 species